rnacentral:rRNA from 1 species
CCAGACUCCUACGGGAGGCAGCAGUGGGGGAUAUUGCACAAUGGGGGGAACCCUGAUGCAGCGACGCCGCGUGGGUGAAGGAGCGUUUCGGCGCGUAAAGCCCUAUCGGCAGGGAAGAAGGAGGACGGUACCUGACUAAGAAGCCCCGGCUAACUACGUGCCAGCAGCCGCGGUAAUACGUAGGGGGCAAGCGUUAUCCGGAUUUACUGGGUGUAAAGGGAGCGUAGACGGCCAGACAAGUCUGAAGUGAAAAUCCAGCGCUUAACGUUGGAAGUGCUUUGGAAACUGCCGGGCUGGAGUGCAGGAGGGGCAGGCGGAAUUCCUAGUGUAGCGGUGAAAUGCGUAGAUAUUAGGAGGAACACCAGUGGCGAAGGCGUCUUACUGGACUGUAAAUGACGCUGAGGCUCGAAAGCGUGGGGAGCAAACAGGAUUAGAUACCCGGGUAC